rnacentral:tRNA from 1 species
GGCCCCGUCGUCUAGCGGUUUAGGACGCCAGGUUCUCAUCCUGGAGAUCACGGGUUCGAAUCCCGUCGGGGUCA